rnacentral:rRNA from 1 species
CCUACGGGGGGCAGCAGUGAGGAAUAUUGCUCAAUGGGGGAAACCCUGAAGCAGCAACGCCGCGUGGAGGAUGAUGGUUUUAGGAUUGUAAACUCCUUUUGUUAGAGAAGAUAAUGACGGUAUCUCACGAAUAAGCACCGGCUAACUCCGUGCCAGCAGCCGCGGUAAUACGGAGGGUGCAAGCGUUACUCGGAAUCACUGGGCGUAAAGAGUGCGCAGGCGGGCUUGUAAGUAAGAUGGGAAAUGCUGGAGCUUAACUAAAGAAAUGCAUUUGAAACUAGGAGUCUAGAGUGUGGGAGAGGUAGGUGGAAUUCUUGGUGUAGGGGUAAAAUCCGUAGAUAUAAAGAGGAAUACUCAUGGCGAAGGCGACCUACUGGAACAUUACUGACGCUCAUGCACGAAAGCGUGGGGAGCAAACAGGAUUAGAUACCCGUGUAGUC